UUGGAAGUUUGAUUCUGGGUUCAGGAUGAACCGCGGGCGGCGCGCCCUAACACCAUGCAAGUCGAACGGCCCCCCCCCUCCGGGGGGGAGCGAGUGGCGAAACGCUUGAGUAACACGUGGAGAACCUGCCCCCUCCUCCGGAAUAGCCGCGGGAAACCGCGGGUAAUGCCCGACGACCCGGGGACCGCGCAUGCGCCCCCCGGCAAAGCCCAGGCGGGAGGGGAUGGCUCCGCGGCCCAUCAGGUAGACGGCGGGGUGACGGCCCACCGUGCCGACAACGGGUAGCCGGGUUGAGAGACCGACCGGCCAGAUUGGGACUGAGACACGGCCCAGACUCCUACGGGAGGCAGCAGUGGGGAAUCUUGCGCAAUGGGGGCAACCCUGACGCAGCGACGCCGCGUGCGGGACGGAGGCCUUCGGGUCGUAAACCGCUUUCAGCAGGGAAGAGACAAGACUGUACCUGCAGAAGAAGCACCGGCUAACUACGUGCCAGCAGCCGCGGUAAUACGUAGGGUGCGAGCGUUGUCCGGAAUUACUGGGCGUAAAGAGCUCGUGGGUGGUUUGUCGCGUCGUCUGUGAAAUUCCGGGGCUUAACUCCGGGCGUGCAGGCGAUACGGGCAUAACUUGAGUACUGUAGGGGAGACUGGAAUUCCUGGUGUAGCGGUGAAAUGCGCAGAUAUCAGGAGGAACACCGGUGGCGAAGGCGGGUCUCUGGGCAGUAACUGACGCUGAGGAGCGAAAGCAUGGGUAGCGAACAGGAUUAGAUACCCUGGUAGUCCAUGCCGUAAACGGUGGGCGCUAGGUGUAGGGGUCUUCCACGACUUCUGUGCCGUAGCUAACGCAUNAAG
rnacentral:rRNA from 1 species